UUUCAUUUGCAUCUACAUUUUGCCAGUGAAGGAGUUUAGGUUUGCCAAUCCGAGGUCUAACAGGCAGUAAACAUGUUCAUUAAAAUACAAAUGCAAAGUCCACAGAACAUACGCGAAUAAAAACCACAUUGCACCACCAGCGGUCAACAGCAGCAGCAGCAAGUGUAUUGAAAGUAGAAAA